rnacentral:rRNA from 1 species
AUGUCGUGGCAGACUUACGUGGACGAGCACCUGAUGUGCGACAUCGAGGGCCACCACCUCGCCUCCGCCGCCAUCCUCGGCCACGACGGCACCGUCUGGGCCCAGAGCGCCGAUUUCCCGUCGGCGCCGACGAUCUCUGACAUGUUUGCAUGCGUGAUCCAGUUCAAGCCGGCGGAGAUGGCCAACAUCAUGAAGGACUUCGACGAGCCGGGGACCCUCGCCCCGACCGGGCUGCUACUCGCAGACGCCAAGUACAUGGUCAUCCAAGGUGAACCUGGCGCCGUCAUCCGCGGCAAGAAGGGCGCGGGAGGCAUCACCCUGAAGAAGACCGGGCAGGCGCUGGUGGUCGGCAUCUACGACGAGCCCAUGACCCCGGGGCAGUGCAACCUGGUGGUGGAGAGGCUGGGCGACUACCUGGUAGAGCAGGGCAUGUAG